rnacentral:rRNA from 1 species
CGCCGCGUGGGGGAUGACGGCCUUCGGGUUGUAAACCUCUUUUACCACCAACGCAGGCUCCCGGUUCUCCGGGGGUUGACGGUAGGUGGGGAAUAAGGACCGGCUAACUACGUGCCAGCAGCCGCGGUAAUACGUAGGGUCCGAGCGUUGUCCGGAAUUAUUGGGCGUAAAGAGCUCGUAGGCGGCGUGUCGCGUCUGCUGUGAAAGACCGGGGCUUAACUCCGGUUCUGCAGUGGAUACGGGCAUGCUAGAGGUAGGUAGGGGAGACUGGAAUUCCUGGUGUAGCGGUGAAAUGCGCAGAUAUCAGGAGGAACACCGGUGGCGAAGGCGGGUCUCUGGGCCUUACCUGACGCUGAGGAGCGAAAGCAUGGGGAGCGAACAGGAUUAGAUACCCUGGUAGUCCAUGCCGUAAACGUUGGGCGCUAGGUGUGGGGACUUUCCACGGUUUCCGCGCCGUAGCUAACGCAUUAAGCGCCCCGCCUGGGGAGUACGGCCGCAAGGCUAAAACUCAAAGGAAUUGACGGGGGCCCGCACAAGCGGCGGAGCAUGUUGCUUAAUUCGACGCAACGCGAAGAACCUUACCAAGGUUUGACAUCACCCGUGGACCUGCAGAGAUGUGGGGUCAUUUAGUUGGCGGGUGACAGGUGGUGCAUGGCUGUCGUCAGCUCGUGUCGUGAGAUGUUGGGUUAAGUCCCGCAACGAGCGCAACCCUUAUUCCAUGUUGCCAGCACGUGAUGGUGGGGACUCAUGGGAGACUGCCGGGGUCAACUCGGAGGAAGGUGGGGAUGACGUCAAGUCAUCAUGCCCCUUAUGUCUUGGGCUGCAAACAUGCUACAAUGGCCGGUACAAUGGGCGUGCGAUACCGCAAGGUGGAGCGAAUCCCUAAAAGCCGGUCUCAGUUCGGAUUGGGGUCUGCAACUCGACCCCAUGAAGGUGGAGUCGCUAGUAAUCGCGGAUCAGCAACGCCGCGGUGAAUACGUUCCCGGGCCUUGUACACACCGCCCGUCACGUCAUGAAAGUCGGCAACACCCGAAACUUGCGGCCUAACCCUUCGGGGAGGGAGUGAGUGAAGGUGGGGCUGGCGAUUGGGACGAAGUCGUAACAAGGUA